CACGUCUUUUCAGAAAAUACAUAUGUUGACAUAAAAAAUUAUCUUUAGUAUAUCUACGUAGCAAAGAAAACUGCUUGAUUUGAUAAAAGAUUAUAAAUAAUAGUCUAAUUAAUUAUUCGACUUUUUAUUUGUUAAUCUAUCUCAUGUACUCAUGAAAAACGUUCGUUUGCCAUGAGGAAUCCGUACAUUUGUCUCCUUGCCUCUUUAUUUGUUGAGGACUCCUAAACAAGAUUCUACUGGCUUUCAUGAUUGUUUAAUAUUUCAGAUCAUUGUGGGAAAGAAGUUCAACCCUCGGAGGAUGCUUUUUAGUGACCAAGGACUGACUCACGAAGAAAUGGAAGAGGUCAUAUUGUUUUUAUCGUGAUCUUUCAAGUCUCACAUGAAUAAAUAUAAUAUAUACUUAUAUCAAUUCAUGAAUUAGUUCUUGACCUUAGAUUGAUAUUGAUGGAGGAUGAACUAAAGACCAUUUUUAACUUCACACACCGAGUAACAAUGAUUUAUCAUAUGAUGGAUAGGAAGGGUAUAUCCUAAUUACACGUUAAUGAAUCAUAGUAGUGGAGUUAGUUGAGGCUUGAAGAAAUAAAAGAAGCUCUAUCGAUAGAAAGAAAAGAAUAUUUAUUGAUGAAUCAUAGCUCUUUCCGAAGAUGGAAUCACCGGGGUGCGAACGUACACACAUUCAGUUCAAGAGAAUAACUCUCGAACGUGGGGGGGUCCAUCAGCUAUGGCGAUUCCUUUCUGAUUCUUUCAUUCUUUGUAGACUCCGCCUCGACUUCCUUCUCAAGCUGGAAAUCACCAAAGAAUCCUAUCAGGACAAUCUACUUAAAAAUAUAUCUAUCCCAGAUGGUCGGUAAAAUCAUCAUACUAGACUAUGUCUUAAUCAACAAUUUCCUUUGUAUAUUUCUUGAAUUUACUCCAUCAUUCUUCAGAAGCCUAUUUUCCCCUUUUGGAACUCUGUCUCUCUCGAUCAUGCUAAGUCAAGAGGGUUAUCUUGUCAACCUUGUUUGGAUCAUUGUUCAUUGGAAAAACAUUAGCCCUGGAGGAUACCAUGUUUUCAUUACUCUUACGUUGUGGAGUACGACUUUUUAUCUCAUAACACUGAAUUUAUUACUUUUUAUUUAACGUGAUCUGUAUUUUAAUGCUAUCCAUUUAUAGAUAAGCUCUGGAGAAGCCGAUAGUUUUUCUUAUGUCUAUUUUAUAUAUAUAUAUACUCAAGUCAUUAGUUAUAAUUCAUAUAAAUUUAAUAUUUUAAUAAGAUGAUUCUAUAUCCUUCAUUUUCUAUAAUAACGAUUAUAUAGACAGUUUUAAUUAUUAAAAUAAAAAGACACAUAAAA
rnacentral:lncRNA from 1 species